rnacentral:rRNA from 1 species
GACGAACGCUGGCGGCGUGCCUAAUACAUGCAAGUCGAACGAGAGCGACCGGUGCUUGCACUGGUCAAUCUAGUGGCGAACGGGUGAGUAACACGUGGGUAACCUGCCCAUCAGAGGGGGAUAACAUCCGGAAACGGAUGCUAAAACCGCAUAGGUCUUCGAACCGCAUGGUUUGAAGAGGAAAAGAGGCGCAAGCUUCUGCUGAUGGAUGGACCCGCGGUGCAUUAGCUAGUUGGUGAGGUAACGGCUCACCAAGGCCGUGAUGCAUAGCCGACCUGAGAGGGUGAUCGGCCACAUUGGGACUGAGACACGGCCCAAACUCCUACGGGAGGCAGCAGUAGAGAAUCUUCCGCAAUGGACGCAAGUCUGACGGAGCAACGCCGCGUGAGUGAAGAAGGUUUUCGGAUCGUAAAACUCUGUUGUUAGAGAAGAACAAGUGCUAGAGUAACUGUUAGCGCCUUGACGGUAGCUAACCAGAAAGCCACGGCUAACUACGUG